rnacentral:rRNA from 1 species
UUACGGAAGGCAGCAGUGGGGAAUAUUGGACAAUGGGCGCAAGCCUGAUCCAGCCAUGCCGCGUGCAGGAAGAAGCAUCUAUGGUGUGUAAACUGCUUUUGUACGGGAAGAAACACCACUACGUGUAGUGACUUGACGGUACCGUAAGAAUAAGGAUCGGCUAACUCCGUGCCAGCAGCCGCGGUAAUACGGAGGAUCCAAGCGUUAUCCGGAAUCAUUUGGUUUAAAGGGUCCGUAGGCGGUUUAGUAAGUCAGUGGUGAAAGCCUAUCGCUCAACGAUAGAACGGCCAUUGAUACUGCUAGACUUGAAUUACAAGGAAGUAACUAGAAUAUGUAGUGUAGCGGUGAAAUGCUUAGAUAUUACAUGGAAUACCAAUUGCGAAGGCAGGUUACUACUUGUGGAUUGACGCUGAUGGACGAAAGCGUGGGGAGCGAACAGGAUUAGAUACCCCCGUAU